UUGCAUGGCUACAGAGUCAUCCACAAGGAUUAUUUUGGUACUUCUUGUCCUGCCUGGCAGCACUGCUUAUGUUCCUAACUGACUUCUGUCUUCAGCGACUGUCUGCCAAAGCUUUUCCUUCGUCUCUCUGAUUAGAUCUGUCACGUCCUGUCAGAACUGAGGAUGUAUGAAAAUCUUUUAAGUCUAAAGAAGCACCCAUUUAUGGAAGGAAGAAGGGAGAACUUCUGAAUGGACAGACGAAAUGGACAUGCGGAGUAAUGGGUCAGGAAGUGUAACAUGCAGAAGGUAUACCCUGUACUUUGAGGUCCACAAUGAGAAUGUGCAGAACAUACGGCCUGGAGAAAACUACACAAGAUCAGAUCACAUGGACUGAGCACGAGACCGAUCUGACCCCACCAUUAAAGAAAGGAUAAAAUGAUGUGGCCCUCACAGAAAAAGGUUUGGGUACCCCUGUUGUAGACAGUACACCGUUUACAAGAACAGUAGUUAUACAGAAGUCACACAGUAGUCAUGCAGUACCUUAAAUGGGAUAUGUAGAAAUGAGGUCAUGUUUCCUGAUUACUUUCUUGGUUAAAAAAACUAUAUAAAAGUAUAAAUGCAUUGAUUAUUCCAGACACCAGUAUCAUGAAAAGCAUCUUGAAAUCCAUCGUUCUGUUUCAUUUGGAUUUAAAGCAGUAGUGAGAACUUUAUAGGUUGUAUAUUGUAUAUUAUAGGUGUAAUAAAGAUGUUUAUUGGGGAUGAGAACAUGCUGAUAUUGGGUUCUAUUGGGAACACAAGUGCUCAUGAGGGCAAAUUCUGAGAAAGAUAGUAAUGUUUUAAAAAUCUUUUGCAAAUGCCCAAAUAUGCAUGUCAAACCAAGAUCUAAUUAGUGCAUGUUGUAGGCAAUAGACAUGAUCAUGGUGAUUGAUUUCUUUCACAGGGUGUGAACUCCAGCAUAACCAAGUGCAUGUUGGUGUGUGAAAUUUCACAUGUUGUCAUGGUUAUUUCCACUACAGGUGUUUUGUUGAGUGUGAACAGCUUGUCUGAUCUUAAACAGAAAUGCAACUUUUGAAGAUGAUUGCUGCUGCCGCUGUUUAGUAUUGCUCUUGCUCUCUUAGGGUGCUUCCUUCACACCUGCCAUUUUUUUUCUCAACUGCCAACACAUGCUUGAAUAAUCCUUAGGGAAGUGUCAGCGGUGGAGUGUUUAUGAAGUGAAAAGAAAAAAAAAACACCAGGUAAUGGCUAGAUAUAUUUUCCUCCUAUUCAAUCAUGCUGCAAGUUGAAGGAAGGCAUGAGAGCAGAUAAACAUUCCUGCAAAAAAAAAAAAAAACAAUUUUUUGAGCAAAUAUAAGAUUUAGAGCAAGUUGAAUAGAAAAUAUCUCAUCAUCCUGUUGCAAUAGAAAAAAAUAACCACUUAUAGUUUGGGGUAUUUAUUAAUACAGGAUGUGAUGUCCAGUUGUGGCUGCGUAGAGUCAAAAAAAAUUAAAGCAAACUACCUUAUCACUAUGGUUAUAGCAAACUUUGUGAUAUUAUUACUACUACUACUAAAUCUGAAUAGCAAGAUAGGCAAGUUACUAGUUAGGUGAUAAAUAAUGUAUAAAUGUCAUGAUUUAAUUGUUCUUAUAAACAUUGCUGGUCUGAACUUUCUUCGAUGGAUGCUUGCUAUUAAUUUGAUAGCUGUGCUAUGCCAAACAAUAGAUAUGUACAGGACAGGUUUUCUGGGACUACUGAUCUCCUGUCUGGAUAAAUUGCCACAGUA